GCCAGCCCGCUCAAGAACUUAAAGGAAUUGACGGGGGCCCGCACAAGCGGUGGAGCAUGUGGUUUAAUUCGAUGAUACGCGAGGAACCUUACCUGGGCUCAAAUGUAUGUUGACGUAUUCUGAAAGGGAUACUUCUUCGGACAAUAUACAAGGUGCUGCAUGGUUGUCGUCAGCUCGUGCCGUGAGGUGUCGGGUUAAGUCCCAUAACGAGCGCAACCCCUAUCAUUAGUUGCCAUCAGGUCAAGCUGGGGACUCUAAUGAAACUGCCUACGCAAGUAGUGAGGAAGGUGGGGAUGACGUCAAAUCAGCACGGCCCUUACGUCCAGGGCUACACACGUGCUACAAUGGCCGGUACAAAGGGCAGCUACCUGGUGACAGGAUGCUAAUCUCAAAAGCCGGUCUCAGUUCGGAUCGGAGUCUGCAACUCGACUCCAUGAAGUUGGAAUCGCUAGUAAUCGUGGAUCAGCAUGCCACGGUGAAUACGUUCCCGGGCCUU
rnacentral:rRNA from 1 species